UCCGGAGUAGCUCAAUGGUGGAGCAGGCGGCUGUUAACCGCAAGGUUCUCGGUUCGAGUCCGAGCUCCGGAGCCA
rnacentral:tRNA from 2 species